UCACGUGUGUCGUGCGCGGAGCCUGUGUGGCAAGAUUUUAUUUUUCAUACACAAUGCGCUCCCUCAAGUUAGUUUUUUCCUCACUUUCAUUUUCUGCUGUGUGGACAUCAUUUUACCUAAAUAUAGUUUUUUGGCUUUUAAAUAAUCUAUCCAUGUAGCUUAAAUAAUAACCUGACAACAAAAUACCCAAUUUUUACAUUUACUUUUGUUAUUUGCAACAUCCCAUGGAAAAUGAAAUUCAUCAAUGUAAUAAAAUGACACAAAAAGUAUUCUCAAAACACUGCAUACAAAGGACUCAUCACAGGCUCAAUACAGGAGAGAGCACCUGCAGCAGUGAAUGACGUCACACGAUCUGUGAAAUGUCUUACCUGUUUCUCACUCAGAGCCGUGAUUUUCGCCUGGUGCUCGUGAAGUUGCUUCUUCAGAUCGGCAUUCUACACAAAGAUAAGUGCGGGAUACAACUUAACCUUUCAGCAACAAAAAAAUUUACUAAAGCAAACCACUGAAGAGCUUUUUAAUACACUAAAAUGUAUAAAAUUAACAAUCUGUGAUUGGACGGGACUAAAUGCAACGUAUCCAUUAUCAAUAAUGAGUGAUGAGAAUAUCAAGAGGAGUAUAACAUUGCUAAACAUUUACCUGUGGGUCCUGCUUCAUCUGGGCGAAAAGUUUCUAUGGUAACAGAAGAGAAGACAGGACGGUCAAAACUUAACUGCAACAGUUUUGGAGGGAGUCACAGACAUGGUGUGCCAUCUACAGGCCGACAUGUAAAACUACAACCUACUGCACCUGCUCUGCACUCAAACAAAGCAGACAUUUCUUUCUACAAGGGUAACUGUGCUUCACAGUAGACAACAGUUUGAGUUAAAAAUAAAAGUUGAAUUUGCAGUGGUCAGAAGGUUACAGGCUACAUUAUUUAAUUCAAUUUAUAGUUGUAUUUAUAAAUACCUUACAUAAAAGAAUAUACUGAAACUUCAUAAAAAACCCAAUUUUCUGUUUCUUCAAAGCAGACAAAGGUGAGUUAUAUUUGGCUCACUUGAGACCACAAAACAGCCAGUUAUGUUUUGUUUUUAGGUAAAGAUAGGCUUGAAAUCCCAUUUCCACCUGCUUGUCAAAUAUUCAGAGUGAUAUCAAGACAAAGCCAGACGUCAACACACACAAAAAACCUCAGUAUGCAAGAGAACACCUGCUUGAAAUGAUUCAUUACAAUAGAAGUUAAUGGCUUAUGCUUUAUCUCCCCAGUAUGACCCCUAUUCUUUUCUUUUUUUCCCAUCUCUCUGCUUCCCUCCUUCCUCCUCCACAUCUUUUUCUUUUUCCCCAUUCAGGCAGCUCGGCUAAUUUUCUGCCUGCUGGGACACGUCGCCUCUGACUGCGAGCAACAUAUCUUCAUUUAUCGCAUAUCCAGCGACUAACAGUCAGGGAAGAAUUGAAAUGAGGACUCGGCGACCUGUUCUGCCGGAUUUGGGAAUUGUUUGAUUCGCCCGUGCAACCUUCACUUAUAACUUAAAGUCAACGUAGCAACAUAUGAUCGCAUGGGUGUUUCCGGCAUAUGGAAAUCGAUGUGGUAGUGGUACGGCUACGGUAAAAUUGUGCGAUUAAAGGCCCCUGCAAGAUCUCUUACCUGAUGGACUUGUAUUUCCAGUUUCAAGGCUUCCUGUAAUGUUUGCAAUUCCAUCAUUGAUCCAGUUCGGAGGAAAGAGAGUCUCAGGAAAUUUUCAGCCUGUCCUGAGAAAUCAGAAAGAAGGGCGUUUGAGGUUUACUGUUUUUUUUUUUUUACUUUAUGCAUUUAACUUUCAUUCUGCAAGGCGUCUGAGAUGUUUGGAGGUUGACUUAAUCCAAUGCCACCUCGGGGGAAAGCAGAAGUCGACAUCUAAUACAGUCUGAGAAAUAAAAUUCACUUCUCAAUCUAGGAAGUCUCAUGUGGUGCAAAAUCUAUGACAUUGUACUGCUGAAUAUUUUGAACCUCUUGUUUGGGGUCAAAAAGUAUAUUGGCAAGAGGAAAAUAACCAAAUAAUGGUCCUGGAGGAGAGCAAAACUGUGGUUGGAGGAUAAAACUUUUGACAUAUGCAAAGAUGGCAGAACAGUUACCCCGUCCGUCGGGACGAAUCGUAACAACUCCGACGCAAAGAUGUGUUUAGUGUAACAGCGAGCGAAACGAAGGCAGUGUUACAGUCAUUCAUUGACUUUCAUUGAUUUUUGGCAUGUGGCCUUGUGCCAAGAGGACAAUUAUAACAGAAGCUAUUAGAGGACUUACCAGCUGGCACUGAGACUAGUGUUCGUACUCUCUCUCCAACUCCCUGCAUAAGACGAAACACACACACAAAGCCUGUUAGAUGGGAAGAGACACUCCAAUUCAGCCUGUGGAAAAAGGGGUCAACAUUGCAAGCACAGCAUUCGGCAUCCGUCUAAUUGCUUGCAUCAUCUAUGAACUACACAACACAAACUCCCAUGUCCUCGCGCCUCUCUCCGCAUCUUCUUCACGGACCUAAAAUAUCUCUGUGAAAACUCAAGCUUUGAUCGUUCCUGAUAAAUGGAACUCUGGGAUAUCUAGCAAAGCGCAUUUUUGCCAACGAUGACAUCAGUCAAGACAACGCGGCCAUCAGUUACCUCAGGACCUUGAGUCUACAGUGAACAGGAAACAACACCCGCACAAAUUUUUACAGCCAUGAGUCACUUUUACUUAAGUCGUUGAUCAUAUAAAGUCUGCUAUCAAGUGAUGUAAUCUUCCAGAAAGGAGAAAUGGCAAACGUCAGGUCAACUUACAAUUUCGUGAUAUUAAUUUGGGACUGACAAAUAAGUUUUACAAGUGCGCUACGUCUAGAACAGUGGUUUUCAAGCUUUUUGGUAUCCCUCAUCCCCCCCAAAGAAAAUUCAUGACAUAAAAGAAUCUCAAACGUAGUAUUUGAAUUAAACAAAACAUAACAUUAUACAAAUGUAGUUAUGUUGGUUAGUAGCCUUAUUUCUCUAUAAUUGCACAGACUUUAUGAUAAAUUAAUGUAUUUUUAAAAAUGUCCCCCCCGGCACCAUCUUAUGCCCCCCAAGGGGGCCCCGUGGUUAUGGAUCUACGCUAUUAACUAAAACAUGCUGGGUUACAACGCUAGCUAUUAUUUGCUAUAAAAAGAAAUGGGAGAAGGCAAAACAUUUAACAAAAAUAAAAUGCAAUAUGCUACCAACCAACAAUAAGAAAUUGUUAUAGUAUAAUUUAUGUAAUUAUCGUAUUUAAAUCAGAAAAUGUAUCUUAAUAGAGGUGAACAAAAGAAUAAAGGGGAAAGAUUUUGGGGUGAUGCAUACAGCCAUAAGGUAAUUCAUAUCAUAAAGUAUUUUGUUGAAUCUUAAUGUUGCCUGGUUUUCAGUUAGUUCGUCAUACUUAGUCUCUCAUAACAGCCCAAUACAUCACAUGUAUUAACUAUUAAUAUAUCCAGACAUUAUUAGUGCAUGUACACUUAUAAUUAAGCAUGUACAUUUGAGUUUAUAAAAUGGAUUACGGUCUAAUAUGCAAUUGUGUGACUUCUUGCUUCUGCAAAAAGUUUUGAGAAUGACCUGUUGAAAUGUUUUGGUAAAACUAUUAUGUUGAAUCCAGGUCAAAUAUAGCCAAAAUCUAUUCAUUUAACUUUUCUCUGUAGUUAAUGUCUCACACAAAACACUAUUAAUUGUAUUAAUUUCAAUAAAUGCAACAGUGUGAGCAAAUAACAGACAACACAUCUUUGUGAUCAAUUUGGUAUAUAGUUUUAAUAACACAGUUUUACUGUAAUAAAGAUUAGUAUUACUAUGUCUAAACUUGAGUUACUUUUUAAAAAAUGCCAAUAAUUCAACAAGGAAAAUCCUCAAAGUUGUUUACAUGCAUCGACUAAAAAAAAAA